UAUAUAUAUAUAUAUAUAUAUAUAUAUAUAUGUUCAGGUUUGUGAGAUUGUCAUAAAUCUUUUUUUUAAUGUUGUAGAGCCGCUGAUUUAUUGACAGCUGCAGUUUGUGAUGAACUGAACCGUCUCAUUCUCAGUUCUAUCAGUGGAUCCACUAAAACUUUUCAGAAACUGAUUGCUGAAAAAAUAUUAAACCUUCACAAGGACACCUCCUAAACAGGGUUGGAUGGUUUAGUUUUAUUAUUAACAUUAAUAAAAUACAUUAGUCUACGUUCUACAUCCAGAGCUGCUGUUUGACCGGGGUUAGGGUUAACCCAUGUCCCUGGAAUAAAAUAUUGCUUAAAUGUUAUUUUUACUGCACAGUAACAGUCAUAAGAAUAGAACAAAGUUGUACUACAGGUAAUGAAGACAGACAAUAAUUCAGAAGAACACAGUCAGCGAUCGCGUAAAACAAGAACAAUAUUAUGUUAUGAAUAUUAACUUUAACUUCUUUCAAGCCCAUUUUUCUCUGAACAGUGAAAAAAUCCGCCAUGAGGCCAAAGUGUGACCAUUAGAUAAUCAUAAAACUACUUAUAUCCCUGUUUAACAGCUAUAGAACCGUCAGAGAACCACUAUAGAACCGCUAUUGAACCGUCAGAGCCAGCGGCAGAUUUCUAAAAGUCUUGCCGAUAUCAGGCUGCUCUCUGACCGGCCGCUCAUAGCCGUCUAACCUGGACGCUCACAUCUCUGAAACUGUUGGAGUAAAGUUUUAAUCAGGCAUUAUCUGGAUAAACUGACCACAUAUUUGAUGUUUACACAACUACUUUCUCGCCUGAAAUCAUCGGAAAACUACAUUUUGUAUCAUAAUAACAGUAGUAUUCCCAAAAAAAAAUUGUUACCUAUGUAAGUUUCCUCCUCGGUCUUUCCCGCUGGUCGGCGCGAAAUGCAUUAUGGGUUAUUUGGCCGCCCUAAGUUCACACAAUUCUGGUCCGAUGCAGUCUCGAUAAAUGUGGGCGGAGCCAGAACACUUCCGGGUAUUAUUUCUGUUCUCGGACAGUUGCAUUCUUUGAAUUGGAACAGUACUCAGUCUCCAAAUGACGACGUUUCACAAGAACGCGAGACUGCAAGUACGGACAAGAACGCAUGUUGAGAAACGGCCCUGGUCUCUACAGGAUUAAACAGGAAGAGGCUCCACCUGGUGGAACAACCAGGAACUACAGCUGAUUUCCUCCGUAGUUUUAUUUGAACCAUCAGCAGAGAUGAAUCAGUGACCUUCUGAUAGAGCCCACGUUAAAGGUAGCACCUCCUGCUGGGGGUCCGAUGGAAGCAGUAACCACUAAUGUGUGACUCUGAGGAGGAUCAGAACCAGAACCCGUCUGAUACCCAACUCUCAGCUGUUCAACAAACCGGACCAACUCCAUGAACCUGGAGAACCAUCAGACUGAGCUCUGAGGGUCCGGACGGGUCAGAACAUCCUGCUGUAGGAGGUUUGGACCAUUCAGGUGUUCACCAGAACCAGCAGCAGGAAGCAGCUCUGAGCUGGUCACUUCUUGUUUAUUGAUUAACUGAUGCGUUGAUUAUCGGGAGAAUCUAAGCAGUCAGAACUUUAUGGUCGGUUUGGGUUUGGGUUAGAAAAAAGGCCGGUCCAGUCCAGACCCGACCGGUCCAGUCCAGACACGACUGAUCGGUCCAGUUCAGACUGGUCAGUCCAGUCCAGACCCGGCUGAUCAGUCCAGUCCAGACCCGAACGGUCCAGUCCAGAACUGAUCGUUCCAGUCCGGAUCCGACCGGUCCAGUCCAGACCUGACCCGUCCAGUCCAGACCUGACUGAUCGAUCCGGUCCAGACCCGACUGAUCAGUCCAGUCCAGACCCAAACGGUCCAGUCCAGACCCAACUGGUCCAGUCCAGACUGGUUGGGCCAGUCCAGACCUGACUGAUCGAUCCGGUCCAGACCCGACUGAUCAGUCCAGUCCAGACCCAACCGGUCCAGUCCAGACCCAACUGGUCCAGUCCAGACUGGUUGGGCCAGUCCAGACCUGACUGAUCAGUCCAGUCCAGACCCAACCGGUCCAGUCCAGACCCAACUGGUCCAGUCCAGACUGAUCGGUCCAGUCCACACUGAUUGGUCCAGUCCAGACCAGACUGAUCAGUCCGGUCCAGACCCAACUGGUCCAGUCCAGACCCAGCUGGUCCAGUCCAGACUGAUUGGUCCAGUCCACACUGAUUGGUCCAGUCCAGACCUGACUGAUCGAUCCGGUCCAGACCCGACUGAUCGGUGCAUUCCAGACUGUUCGGUCCAGUCCAGACCCAACCAGUCCAGUCCAGACCUAACUGGUCCAGUCCAGACUGGUCGGGCCAGUCCAGACCUGACUGAUCAGUUCAGUUCAGACCCAACCGGUCCAGUCCAGACCCAACUGGUCCAAUCCAGACUGAUCGGUCCAGUCCACACUGAUUGGUCCAGUCCAGACCAGACUGAUUGGUCCAGACCUGAUCGGUCCAGUCCAGACUGCUUGAUCCGGUCCAGACCCAACUGGUUCAGUCCAGACUGAUCAGUCCAGUCCACACUGAUUGGUCCAGUCCAAACCUGACUGAUUGGUCCAGACCUGAUCGGUCCAGUCCAGACCCAACUGGUCCAGUCCAGACUGGUUGGUCCAGUCCGGACCCGAUCGGUCCGAUCCAGAACCAGGUGCAGCAAUAAGAGCAGGUCCGGUUGUUGUUGAGCUUCAUAAAACUUGAGCGGCGACAAUCAGGCCAUGAUGUCACAGUGUUGAUUGUUUUGUGAUCAAUCGACUGAAUUGAUCGUGUUUUUCUACUGAUUUUCUACACGACGAAUGAAGCGUUUUAUUGAUUAGCACACCUGUCCUGUAUUUAUCGAUCAGGAUCAAUAACCUGUCCGUGUUUAUCGAUCAGGAUCAGUAACCUGUCCGUGUUUAUCGAUCAGGAUCAAUAACCUGUCCGUGUUUAUCCGUGUUGUUUUUACCUUCAGCUUCACGGAAACCAGUCCGACCUCCUGCAGUCACAUGAUCAGAUCACUAUUGAUUAUUGAUCAGGUCACUAUUUAUUAUUGAUCAAAUCACUAUUGAUUACUGAUCAGUUCACUAUUGAUUAUUGAUCAGAUUACUAUUGAUUAUUGAUCAGAUCACUGUUGAUUAUUGAUCAGUUUUUCACAUGUAGUUUCUACUUCCUGACACCGGGUUGAUCAUGUGACCGCAUAAAAUGUCCCAGCAUGCACCUCUCCUCACUCACACCAAAGCAGAACACAGGAAGACGGUUUACUGCAGUACCUGUGUGUAAUACUGCAGCACCUGUACAUAAUAAUGCAGUACCAGUUGAAACACUGCAGUAUCUGUAUAUAAUACUCUGCAGUAACAGUACUGUACUCCUGUAGUAGUACUAGUACUACACACUGAGGUCCAACCAAACUCUGUUCAAAAUUCUGAUGAUUUAAGAAGCUUUUUUUAAAAAUGUGUUUUAAUGAGGAAAAUUAAAUUCUUUAAAGAAAUCGAUUGUUUUCUGAAACUGACGAUCAAACACAAUAGUACUGCAGUACUACUUGUACUGUGCAGUACUCUGCAGUAGUAGUACUUGUUCUGAGUCCAGCUGUGUGUACUUUCUGCAGUGUAUAAAGUUUUCUAUGGGCUGUUUGUACUUUUUCACUGUUUCCUGGUUGAUGUAAAUAAAGUGUCGGCAGGAGCUUUUAAAAUAAAGUUUUAUUGUUUAUUAGCAGCAG
ensembl:lncRNA